rnacentral:rRNA from 1 species
AGAGUUUGAUCAUGGCUCAGAACGAACGCUUGCUGCAUGCUUUAUACAUGCAAGUCGAACGAAAGCCCUACCUCGGAUGGUGUUCUAACUGGCGCCCGGGUGAUUACCCCUUGGGAACAUCCCUCUUAAUAGGGAAUGACUGCGGGAAACCGUAGCUAAUCCCGU